rnacentral:rRNA from 1 species
UGGGGAAUUUUGGACAAUGGGGGCAACCCUGAUCCAGCAAUGCCGCGUGUGUGAAGAAGGCCUUCGGGUUGUAAAGCACUUUUGUCCGGGAAGAAAUCGCACCUGAUAAUACCGGGUGUGGAUGACGGUACCGGAAGAAUAAGGACCGGCUAACUACGUGCCAGCAGCCGCGGUAAUACGUAGGGUCCAAGCGUUAAUCGGAAUUACUGGGCGUAAAGCGUGCGCAGGCGGUUGUGCAAGACCGAUGUGAAAUCCCCGGGCUUAACCUGGGAAUUGCAUUGGUGACUGCACGGCUAGAGUGUGUCAGAGGGGGGUAGAAUUCCACGUGUAGCAGUGAAAUGCGUAGAGAUGUGGAGGAAUACCGAUGGCUAAGGCAGCCCCCUGGGAUAACACUGACGCUCAUGCACGAAAGCGUGGGGAGCAAACAGG